rnacentral:lncRNA from 1 species
GCAAAAAAAUCCACCCAGAAAUAUCCCAAAAAUAGCAAAAAAAUCCACCCAGAAAUAUCCCAAAAAUAGCAAAAAAAAUCCACCCAGAAAUAGCAAAAAAAUCCACCCAGAAAUACCCCAAAAAUAGCAAAAAAUCCACCCAGAAAUAUCCCAAAAAUAGCAAAAAAACCCACUCAGGAACCAGCCAGAAAUACCCCAAAAACCCCUAAAAAUCCACCCAAAAAUCCCCCCAAAAUUCAGGGCUCCCCAA